rnacentral:rRNA from 1 species
UACGAAGGGGGCUAGCGUUGCUCGGAAUCACUGGGCGUAAAGCGCACGUAGGCGGAUUGUUAAGUCAGGGGUGAAAUCCUGGAGCUCAACUCCAGAACUGCCUUUGAUACUGGCGAUCUUGAGUCCGGGAGAGGUGAGUGGAACUGCGAGUGUAGAGGUGAAAUUCGUAGAUAUUCGCAAGAACACCAGUGGCGAAGGCGACUCACUGGCCCGGUACUGACGCUGAGGCGCGAAAGCGUGGGGAGCAACAGG